AAGUUGUUUCUCUCUCUAUGCUCUUUGUCGCCGUCUCCAAGUCCUUUUGCAAAAUUUUCUUUUUCUUUUGCCGACGAAGCUGCAGAGAUGAAACAGGAUUCGGACCAAGCAGCAUCAACCAACAACAAUUAUUAUUUGUAUUUGGAUUGUUGGGUAAAAGCUUUGCAGAUAGCCAAACGAAUCUAUCUUUUGGCUUGGCUGAACUUAAAGAUAGCUUACGGACCUGAUUCUCAUCACGUGGAAAAGCAUACGUUUUAAGAACUCAGUUUCGGAUAUGUUGAUUUGGAGGCGAUAGCUAUACAAUAGGUCAAGAGUACAAUUAAAGACAGGUGUUGACAUUGUUGUUAGAAUCCUUGGUCGUAUGAAGGUACGUCUCUCUCUCUCUCUCUCUCUCUCUCUCUCUCUCUCUCUCUUUUUACUCCAGUGGAUGUAAAGGAAGAUAGCGGGUUAGAGUUUUGAGAAGAUGAUGUUCAACAUAAUCAUCACAUGAUGAUCUCUCUUCUGGGUUUGUAAAUUAGAAGGAUUUAUUUAUACGUGGCCAUGAGAAGCCAUCUUCUUGAGAACACACUAUGGAUCUACCAACUGAUUCGCUAGGCCAAGAUGAAAUGGGAGCUGAGUAUGUUUUUGGAAGUCAACACCAUCCACAUCUCUUAUAGUUGAUAAUAAGAGCACUGAUGGGCACUUCUUACGCAUUCAUUUCAACAUCAGAAUAGGUUGAAUAUAAUAACAAAAAGAAUUUGCAACAAUUCAUAGGCUCCAAUGAUAGUGACACGUUUGAAGCAUCUAACAAGAUGAAUGGGUAAGACCUUCUUUGGCGAUCGAUCUUCUCUUAGCCUUCUACUUUCAGAAUUGACUGCUUACUAUGUUGGUCAGUUGGUGGCAAUCGAUGAACACAGAAUUGCAGUUCAAGGCUUUGUGUGGAGUAUCAAUUCGUUUGACCAGUGGAGAGUUAAUCUAGGAACAGUUUUAUCUUCCGCUCUUCAUCUUCCUCUGAAUCUUAAAGUAGCUGCUGAAGCUGAGAAUUUACUAACAAAGUCUAUGUCCACUCUAGACACUUUUUAGCUUAAAGAAUGCCAUGUUCUUGCUCAGAAACAACAAACCAAACAAUUAUAGCUGAUUUGAGCCUUUUGUGAGAAUUUUAUCAUUGUGCUUAUCAAAAGAUAAAUUAGAUUUACAUUGUCAGGCUAUGUGUUUUCGUUAUAUGCAUUUUCCUAGAUUUUGAUCUGUU